UGAGUGAAAUCAUGAUGUAGAAACUUCCCUAACUUUAGGGACCUUAGUCAUCUUGCCCAAUUGGAUUCUGUAUGCUAUUCAGUUCUCUUUAGUUCAUAUUCCGCAUUGUAUUCAGACUGUCUUUUCACCAUUCGAGUUGUUUUUCUAGCCUGAGAUGUGAAACCUCUUGGAAACCUCUCUUGCAUGAACCCCAUAUGAAGGUGGUAUAUUCUUUCUUGAAAUAGAGUUUACAAGUGACUACCCAUUCAAACCUCCCAAGGGCUGCAGGUGGUAUUUAAAACCCGUAUCUUCCACUGCAAUGUCGAUACAGGUGGAAACCUUGGUCUAGAGAUGCUGAAAGACGGUUGGAGUCCAACUUUAACCAUUUCAAAGGUUCUCCAUGCAACCAGAUCUAUUCUUAUGAAUCCUGACCCACAUAACCCAGUUGUUGCAGAAUAAGAUUGAAUAGAAUUUUGACACAACCACCCCUUCUUCCAUUUUUUAUGUCAACGUGUAAAGGAGCUUCCUCACAGUUGAGUGGUCAUUCCUUCGC